rnacentral:rRNA from 1 species
UACGGAGGGUGCAAGCGUUAAUCGGAAUUACUGGGCGUAAAGGGUGCGUAGGCGGUUGUUUAAGUCUGUUGUGAAAUCCCCGGGCUCAACCUGGGAAUGGCAAUGGAUACUGGACAGCUAGAGUGUGUCAGAGGAUGGUGGAAUUCCCGGUGUAGCGGUGAAAAUGCGUAGAGAUCGGGAGGAACAUCAGUGGCGAAGGCGGCCAUCUGGGGACAACACUGACGCUGAAGCACGAAAAGCGUGGGGGAGCAAAACAG